AUUGAACGCUGGCGGCAGGCUUAACACAUGCAAGUCGAGGGGUAUAGUUCUUCGGAGCUAGAGACCGGCGCACGGGUGCGUAACGCGUAUGCAAUCUACCUUUUGCAGAGGGAUAGCCCAGAGAAAUUUGGAUUAAUACCUCAUAGUAUGUGAGAAUGGCAUCAUUUUCACAUUAAAGUCACAACGGCAAAAGAUGAGCAUGCGUCCCAUUAGCUUGUUGGUAAGGUAACGGCUUACCAAGGCAACGAUGGGUAGGGGUCCUGAGAGGGAGCUCCCCCACACUGGUACUGGGACACGGCGCAGACGCCUACGGGAGGCAGCAGUGAAGAAUAUUGGACAGUGGGCGCAAGCCUGAUCCAGCCAUGCCGCGUGCAGGAUGACGGUGCUAUGGAUUGUAAACGGCUUUUGGACAGGAAGAAACACUGGUUCGUGAACCAGCUUGACGGUACUGUAAGAAUAAGGAUCGGCUAACUCCGUGCCAGCCGCCGCCGUAAGAC
rnacentral:rRNA from 1 species